UACGGGGGGAGCAAGCGUUGUUCGGAUUUACUGGGCGUAAAGGGCGCGUAGGCGGCGCAACAAGUCACUUGUGAAAUCUCCGGGCUUAACCCGGAGCGGUCAAGUGAUACUGUCGUGCUAGAGUGCGGAAGGGGCAAGUGGAAUUCUCGGUGUAGCGGUGAAAUGCGUAGAUAUCGAGAGGAACACCUGCGGCGAAGGCGGGUUGCUGGGCCGACACUGACGCUGAGGCGCGAAAGCUAGGGGAGCGAACGGG
rnacentral:rRNA from 1 species